rnacentral:rRNA from 1 species
UACGUAGGGGGCAAGCGUUGUCCGGAAUCAUUGGGCGUAAAGCGCGCGUAGGCGGCCCGUUAAGUCUGCUGUGAAAGUCCAGGGCUCAACCCUGGAAUGCCGGUGGAUACUGUCGGGCUAGAGUUCGGAAGAGGCAAGUGGAAUUCCUGGUGUAGCGGUGGAAUGCGCAGAUAUCAGGAGGAACACCUAUAGCGAAGGCAGCUUGCUGGGACGACACUGACGCUAAGGCGCGAAAGCGUGGGGAGCGAACAGG